ACAGGUGGUGCAUGGUUGUCGUCAGCUCGUGUCGUGAGAUGUUGGGUUAAGUCCCGCAACGAGCGCAACCCCUACGUUUAGUUGCUAACGCGUGAAGGCGAGCACUCUAGACGAACUGCCGUUGACAAAACGGAGGAAGGUGGGGAUGACGUCAAAUCAUCAUGCCCCUUAUGUUCUGGGCUACACACGUGCUACAAUGGCCGGUACAGACGGACGCAAAGCCGCGAGGUGGAGCAAAUCCUAAAAAGCCGGUCUCAGUUCGGAUUGCAGGCUGCAAUUCGCCUGCAUGAAGUCGGAAUCGCUAGUAAUCGCAGGUCAGCAUACUGCGGUGAAUACGUUCCCGGGCCUU
rnacentral:rRNA from 1 species